ncrna:unclassified sequences RT-3 RNA
AAUCGGAGACCCUGCACAGGUACGAGAUUACCACCGCCAUUCUCCGAGGGAUUCGAGCCUCGGCAACACCAUGAUAAUAUAUAUUUAUUAAUGGAAAGCCGGAACAUAUCUUUAACCACAUGUGGGGAGAGGUUGGACCACUCCCCACGAGACCGGAAGGCGGU